UUGGAGGCGCGGCCCGGCGGACGUGGGCAGGAGGGCUGGAAAAACCGGCGCUGGAGCGGGAACGGGAGUAGCUGCCUGGGCGCCGAAGGCCGCGGCACUCCCACGCGGACCCCGAAGUCCGCAACCCGGGGAUGGGCCCGCGGCUGCGAGUCUGUGGAUUCUAGCCUUGGGGGUCUUUCACGAUCCAGCACUGUGGCCAGCCUCGACACAGAUUCCACCAAAAGCUCAGGACAAAGCAACAAUAAUUCAGAUACCUGUGCAGAAUUUCGAAUAAAAUAUGUUGGUGCCAUUGAGAAACUGAAACUCUCCGAGGGAAAAGGCCUUGAAGGGCCAUUAGACCUGAUAAAUUAUAUAGACGUUGCCCAGCAAGAUGGAAAGUUGCCUUUUGUUCCUCCGGAGGAAGAAUUUAUUAUGGGAGUUUCCAAGUAUGGCAUAAAAGUAUCAACAUCAGAUCAAUAUGUAAGUAAUAUAAUUUAUUAAGAAAACUAUGUUUUAGAUAACAGGGAAUUCAGGCCAUUAAGAGCCCCCUUAUAAUUAGGGCCACUCCUGUUUGCAGAGUGAUUGGUUUGU
rnacentral:sRNA from 1 species